rnacentral:snRNA from 1 species
GGAUGUGAGAGUGAUCUGACUACAAUAUCUGUCACCCCGUUGAUUGCCAGCGUUGGUUCAGCUGACCUGGCUGGCUAGGCAGGUGUUGCCUUCCUCCCUCAGUGCUUUAUGUGCAUCCUUCCUGAAGCUGCAUGUUCAGCUGAAGAGGAUAACCGCCCUCAAAAGAGGAGAACUGUUCCUUGGUCAAGGGUAUGGGAGUAGCUGCACUCCCCUGCUAAAACCUCCACACUUUCAAAAUUGUUGUAUAUUUUUACACUCUAUGAACACAUGAAGGUUAUUAUAGCUCCACAUCUUUCUCAAUCCUUGAUUCUGUCAUUUUUGAA